UUCCAGACUCCUACGGGAGGCAGCAGUGGGGAAUAUUGGGCAAUGGGCGGAAGCCUGACCCAGCAACGCCGCGUGAAGGAAGAAGGCUUUCGGGUUGUAAACUUCUUUUCUCGGGGACGAACAGAUGACGGUACCUGACUAAGAAGCCCCGGCUAACUACGUGCCAGCGGCCGCGGUAAUACGUAGGGGGCAAGCGUUAUCCGGAUUCACUGGGUGUAAAGGGAGCGUAGACGGCGACGCAAGUCUGGAGUGAAAGCCCGGGGCCCAACCCCGGGACUGCUCUGGAAACUGCGUCGCUGGAGUACGGGAGGGGCAGGCGGAAUUCCUGGUGUAGCGGUGAAAUGCGUAGAUAUCAGGCGGAACACCGGCGGCGAAGGCGGCCUGCUGGACCGUGACUGACGUUGAGGCUCGAGAGCGUGGGGAUCAAACAGGAUUAGAUACCCUCGUAA
rnacentral:rRNA from 1 species